rnacentral:rRNA from 1 species
UGUGUGUUAGUGGAAGCGUCUGGAAAGGCGUGCGAUACAGGGUGACAGCCCCGUACACAAAAAUGCACAUACUGUGAGCUCGAUGAGUAGGGCGGGACACGUGGUAUCCUGUCUGAAUAUGGGGGGACCAUCCUCCAAGGCUAAAUACUCCUGACUGACCGAUAGUGAACCAGUACCGUGAGGGAAAGGCGAAAAGAACCCCGGCGAGGGGAGUGAAAAAGAACCUGAAACCGUGUACGUACAAGCAGUGGGAGCACGCUUAGGCGUGUGACUGCGUACCUUUUGUAUAAUGGGUCAGCGACUUAUAUUCUGUAGCAAGGUUAACCGAAUAGGGGAGCCGAAGGGAAACCGAGUCUUAACUGGGCGUUAAGUUGCAGGGUAUAGACCCGAAACCCGGUGAUCUAGCCAUGGGCAGGUUGAAGGUUGGGUAACACUAACUGGAGGACCGAACCGACUAAUGUUGAAAAAUUAGCGGAUGACUUGUGGCUGGGGGUGAAAGGCCAAUCAAACCGGGAGAUAGCUGGUUCUCCCCGAAAGCUAUUUAGGUAGCGCCUCGUGAAUUCAUCUCCGGGGGUAGAGCACUGUUUCGGCAAGGGGGUCAUCCCGACUUACCAACCCGAUGCAAACUGCGAAUACCGGAGAAUGUUAUCACGGGAGACACACGGCGGGUGCUAACGUCCGUCGUGAAGAGGGAAACAACCCAGACCGCCAGCUAAGGUCCCAAAGUCAUGGUUAAGUGGGAAACGAUGUGGGAAGGCCCAGACAGCCAGGAUGUUGGCUUAGAAGCAGCCAUCAUUUAAAGAAAGCGUAAUAGCUCACUGGUCGAGUCGGCCUGCGCGGAAGAUGUAACGGGGCUAAACCAUG